rnacentral:rRNA from 1 species
CCCUUAGAUGUUCUGGGCCGCACGCGCGCUACACUGACGAAUGCAACGAGCUUAUAACCUUGGCCGAAAGGUCUGGGUAAUCUCCAAAUUUCGUCGUGAUGGGGAUAGAUUAUUGCAAUUAUUAAUCUUCAACGAGGAAUGCCUAGUAAGCGCAAGUCAUGAGCUUGCGUUGAUUACGUCCCUGCCCUUUGUACACACCGCCCGUCGCUCCUACCGAUUGAAUGGUCCGGUGAAGCGUUCGGACCGUGGCCUUUGGACGGUUCGCCGUCUGUUGGCUGCGGGAAGUUCGUUAAACCUUAUCAUUUAGAGGAAGGAGAAGUCGUAACA